GUUCUGUGAAUGGUUUGGGAUUUCCAGUUAAAUCAGACAAUUACAACGGAAAAGAAUCAGUUAGGGAGUCAUUCACGUACUUCGAAUUUGUCGCGAGGGUGAACAACUAGAAUGAGCCAGCAAAGAUAAUGGCUCUCGUGUUAUGUUUGCGAGAAAAGGCGCGAUCAAUUUUAGAAACGAUUAGGGAUUUAACUAAACCAACAUUUUCGGAAUUAAAAUUAGAGAUGCGGUUCGGAGAAACCUUGGUACUUAGGGAAACUAUAUUGGAUCAGAGACGGAGGGCAGUUGAGGAUUUAGCUGCUUUACCCGCUAAACACGCUUUCGCGGUCCGCGUAUCCAAAGUGUACAGCGGAGAUGCAAGAUAAGAUUGUUUGCAUCCAGUUUAUAAAUGCUGUAGGGAACCCUUUCUUGCGCUAAUUUCUUGUAAUUGAAAGAUGUGAAGUUCCUGAAAAAAUCUGUAUAAGGGCUAUUGAAGUCGAAGACAUAAAAAAAAAUAGGAUGUAUUUCUUUGAAAACUAAAGUGCGCCUAGUAUGGAGGGAUGGUUCGGACAGUAUUCCGUUAUGGGAAACUUGUAUCGAGAAGGAAUUGACCGGAGAGAUCUAGAGGAAAAUUUUUUUAUAAAUCGUCAAAUUCAAACCAGAAAUGAAAAAAGAGGCCACCUAUGAAUAUUGGUGAAUGUUGGACAUGUGCGGAAAUGGACAUUAUCGGACGGAAUGCUUAAGAACAUUCCGGUAGGAAAAUUAAAAAUGGUCAAACUGGGGGGAGUUGAAUUCGAUUACAAAUAGGAGAUCUCAACUUCAUUAUCAGGAGAUUAAGGAUCGGAUGUUCCUCUUAUGAGUCCGAAAAUUGUAGAUGGACAAUUUAUACGAGUAAUCUAAAAAAGGAGUACGUUGUCAGGAGUGAGAUUGUGCUAGCUUACCGGAGAGGUUCUGUUAGCCGAAGAAAAAAUGGAAACUUUCGUGGAAAUGGAAAAAUCUUCUGAAAAAUUACUCUCAGUAGUAGCGGAUAUUUUUUAUGACUGUAUUUUAAGGCGAGAAGUUUUGUCACAGAUUGGAAUGAACAAGCAAUUUCGGAAAAUUAUCCUGGGGAAUUCAGGUUCAGUAGUGAAGAUUUUAGAAGAGAUAUUAAGUAAAUUAAAUAUUAUUUUUCAAGAAAAUUCGGGGAACCUCUCAAAGUGGAUUCUUCUGAUUUCCUUAAGAAAUUUUUAGGGGAGUUUGCUGAAAAAAGUAUUGUAGGAAAUUGUGGAAUCGUGGAAUAUGUUAUUGAACUGACAGAUUUUUGUCCUAUAAAACAGUUUCUUUGAAGGAUAACAUUUCAUUUACGAGGAGAAAUGUACCAAAUUGUAGAGAAUAUGAGGAAACAGAGAGUGAUAGAGGAAUCCUCUAGUCCUUGGAUUUUCCGGCGGUAUUUGUACAAUGGAAAGAGGAUUGUUCUAGGUUUUGCGUGGAUUAUAGAAGAUGGAAUGCAGUGACGAAGAAGAAUCUAUUGCCGAUAAUAGACAAUUUGUUUGAUUGAUUAUCUAGGAACGUUUGGUUUACGACUUUAGAUGUUAAGAGGGAACAUUGGUAGGUGAAGAUUCGCUAGGAGAAUAGAGACAAGACGGUCUUUUCAAUUAGGAAAGGAUUGUGACAAUUUUGGAUAAUGCUUUGGCUUAUAUAAUGUUCCAGCCAAAUUCGAAUGACAUAUCUUAAAGAGAUUACAACAUUGAAUCUGUUUAGUAUAUCUUAAUGAUAUAAUUACUUAGAGUCAUACCUUUGAAGGUAUGCUCGAAAAUGUAAAAGAGCAAUUCUCAAAGCUACAUGUGACAAGGUUGUAUAAGAAAUACAAAUUUUUCGAGAAAGAAAUGAGGUAUUUGGGACAUAUUAUUUCGGAAAAAGAAUUGUCAACUGAUUUGGAAAAAACUAGUAUCAUGGCGAAUUAGCCUGUACCAAGAAAUAAGAAAUAAAUCAGGAUUCUGUUCGAAUUACCGACAAUUUCUGACAGGCUUCUAGGUAAUUACAAAACCAUUGUAUUGUUUUACGGAAAAUAUGACGGUGUUCAAGUGGAAUAUACAAUAUCAAGAGUUAUUUGAGAAACUGAAGAAAGCUCUCACGUCAUCGAAAAUUCUUGUCUUUUUGUUAGAGGGAAAACAGUUUAUUUUGGACACUGAUACGUCGGUCAUAAUGUGGCCACAGAAGCGGUAUUGUCCAAAUAACUUAAUUCAGCAGGGUUCUGAAUAAAGCAGAGAAAAAUUAUUGCAUAAUCAGGCAAGAAUUACUCGCUGUUUUAGAUUCUAUUAAGGCAUUUUAUCACUAUCUUUAUGAAAAAAAAAUUUGUUUUACGAACGGACCAUACUUCUCUUUGGUGGUAACUAUCUUUUAAGGAUUUGGAUGGACAAUUGGUCCGAUGGUUUGAAUGAUUUCAACAAUAUGAAUUUGAAGUUGCUCACAGAGGAGAAAGAUCGCACAGGAAACGUGGAUGGGUUGUCCAUACGACCAUGCGAAGAGAUACAAUGCAGUUAUUGUGCUAAAUGAGAGACAACGGACGAAUUUAAUUUUCGCAAAUGAAAAAUUCAAGAAUUGGAGCGAUUGAUAACGGAGGGAUAUAAUGUGAGAAUGCCAUUUGCACGUGUGCAGAUGGAUGUCAUGGGUCUUUUCUCGAAAUCUAUACGGGGAAACAUAUUUCUUCUAGUUGUGGUGGAUUGCUGCAGUAAAUGAAAGUGUUUCCGCUAAGGAAUUUUAGGACAAAGAUAGUGGCUGACAUUUUUAUCGAGCAGGUUGUCUCCAAACAUGGAGUUGGAUAUACUAAUCAGUAAUAUACCAAGAAGUAACUUUGAGUCCAAAUUAUUUAAAGAAAUUGUAAAAUUAUUAGGAAUUUGGUAAAUAGACUACAGCGUUGCAUCCGCAAUCGGAUGGAAUGAAGCGCCAAAUAGGAUGAUCAUUGAUUUGGUGAAAUUUAUUAGUCAAGAUCAGAGGGAUUGGGAUCGGUGGGUUCCAUUAUGUUUGUUAGCCUAUAGUAUUGUAAAAUGUGAAACAAGUAGAAUGAACUAGCAAAAAUUUUAAUUGGAAAGAAUCAAAGGAUACCAUUAGAUCUUUCUUGAGGUUGUCCACUGGCCUUAUAUAGAUAUAUGGAUCAAAGCUUGGAACGAAAUUACAUAAAAUUCAUCGUAUUGCAAAAAAGUGGAUGGAAAUUAAAUCCUGUAGAAUGAAGACUUGGUAUGACCGAGGAAUAAAUAAAAAAAAAUUUAAAGAAGGUCAAAAAGUUUGGUUAUUUAAUUAUCAACGAAGGAAAGGGAAAACGCAGAAACUGGAGAGUAAUUGGGAAAGAUCAUAUAACAUUUUAAGGAAAAUUAAUGAUGCAGUAUUUUGUAUAAGGAAAUCUUCGAGAGAAAAGAAUAGAAUUGUUCAAUCGAAUCGAUUAGCUUCAUUUUUAGAGAGUAGAUGAUUUUAGUAUAGCGUUUAAGUAAGAUGUAUGAAUGUGGUCCUGCCACUCUUGUUCUCUGACAUGAGAAGCCAGAUUCCGUGCCAAGAGGCGUAAUCCAGAUUCAAUCCAAAUGGAGAUUUGUGUACUCGUCAGGAGCACUUGUCUUAGACCUUUGAGUUUGUAUGAUGGAAAAAAAUACCUGUCGAGACGGAACUACCCUUGAAACUUCUGAAGAAGAAGAAAGUGAUGGGCGAGAUGGGAUAUUCCAAGACAUUUAGCUAAGAGUCAUGACCCAAAUGUUUUGUUGAAAUGCUUGGGAAGGGAGAAAGUAAUUCGUAGGAUAAAGAAAUAGGUUUUUAUAGAAAAAUAUUUUGCUGAUAAUAAUUUCCGUUGCAGAAAACGGAUUCUGGGACGAAUGGAAAAUAUGAAAAGAGAAAGUCUCCAAAGUCAAUUCGAAGACAGAAGAAAAAGAAAAGGAAGAAAGAAAACUAUACUGAGUACCGCUGAUUUCCCAGAGGUUUUUAGUCCAUAGUUUUCCCUUCGAGCGAAGCGAGUUUGUGCUCCGGAUGAAUACUAGAUCGGUUAAGGAAUGUGAUAGACCCCUGGUAUUCUAUCGCCUCCCCAUGCCCAAAGUACUGCGUUGUAAGAAAGCUCCUAAUACAAGAAACCUCACUCUUUUGGAAGAAAAGAGCAGAGAGACGGGUCCUGUUUCGUCCAUAGACAUCUUGUGAUUGGGUCUGAGACUUCGAAGCAUGGAGGUUUUUGUGAGGAAGUAGAGGAAAUGCUAUCGAAGGGAACCCUGGAAGCUGGAGAUUUUGGACAAGGAAAAGUCGAGAGAAACUCGCUUGGCAAAGGCCCAUGUGACAGAGCUUCCAGUGCUUUUUUUUUACGUGGUUUCCUUUGUAGGACUAGUUCACUCUAUACUAGUUUAACAACUACUACUAUAAUAAUAUAAUAUAAUAUAAUAUAAUAUAAUAUAAUAUAAUAUAAUAUAAUAAAAUAAAAGAUAAGAUAAGAUAAGAUAUAUAGGAGACACUCGAACUUAGUCCGAUUUACCAGGACUUGUCCUUAGCUAAAGAACUUAACUCGAAGUUAUAGAAUUUUGGUCGAAAUGAGUCUGACAUUUCCGAAAUAUUUUAAUUAGAUGGCGUAAACAUGAAAAUGCAUAGAACUACUUGGAGACACUCAAAAUUCGCCGAAUUCUGGACUUGUCCAGAGUUUUAAAAAAUUAAUUAUUUUCAUGAUUAAAUAAAUAGAAAUUGAAUCAAAAAAAAAAUUUUGUAUAAAAACACUUGUGGAUAAUAGUAGUAUACACGCCAGGUAAUAAUAAAAAGAAUUCAAAAAGGAGUUCAGCAAUCUACUUGUAAGCUUAGAAUUAGACAAUAUUAAUAAUUAUUAUGUAAUUACGGGAAGUAGAUUUUUUCAUAAAUGGUUAAAACAGAUAGACUAUAAAGUGAUACUAUGUACAAUUAGCAAACCUUGAUGUUUAGUAAAUAAUUCAUAGUUACAGGAUUUACACAUAAUAGAAUCUAAGUAGUAAAUAAAACAAAGGUAAUAGAAGAAAAAGAGUAAUAGAAAAUAAAAACUAUAUCAUAUGACAGUGAUUAUAAUACAUUAGCUAGACAAAUAAGGAAAGGUAACUGUGUAAUAUUUAAUCUUGAAGAAUUUAAAGAAAAUAAUAACUGUAAUUCGAAUAAAGUGAACUAGUAGAAAUGUUUAAAAUACUUACAGUACUUAUUGUUAAUAGUAAUAGUAAUUUAGAAAAUAAUUAGAUAAAGAAAUACUUCAAAUAAAAAGUAACGGUUCUAGUUCGAUUUAUCUAGUCAAUACCAAGAAAAAAUUAAAAUGUA